CCUGGCUACAAGAAUUAUUUUUCAAUUAAAAAGGGAAAAAAGUCCCAAUAUUCAAAAUAAAAAUUAAAAACAAUCACCGCUGCAAGGCGCAGCCCUGGGGACGUCCAGUUGUAUUGGAGUUUUCAAAUAAAAAAAGAGGGGGAGACGUUUACAAAGUAUCACAAAAAAUUUUGUGGUGGAAAAAAAUGUAUCCAAGAGUUAACAUCCUUUUUUUUUCUUCCAGGAGCUCCGUUCGUUCCUCUCCUUUUCUUCUGCCAAAAAUACAUAUAUAUGUGUAUACGUAUCUUUUUUUAAUCCAAAGAAAGCUUUGAAUCGGCUGCUUCCACCAUGCUCGUCUGAUUAUUAUUUUAAGUGAGUCUCUCGUCUUUCCUCCCUCCUACACCUCCCAAGCGAAAGAAGAAAAAAAAAAACACGAGCCACCCACUCCUCCCCCCUCCAAAAAAAAUACACCAGCCUUCACUGGCUCUCCUGGUUUUUCCGAGGUGGAUCUGAGGUAGCCUUGCUGCCCCCCUCUCCGACCCCGUCCCCACUUCCUCCAGGCUCCACCGCUGGCAGGAGGGAGACAAGAGAAAAAAAACAGGUCUGAGAGGGUGAUGCCGAGGCUGACAGGAGGUGAGACUGGCGACAGCUUCGCUCUCUAGCUCGCAGGCUCGCUGGCUCUCUAGCAAACGCAACUGCAGCCGUGUCUUCCUCCUCUCGGGGCUGCUCCUCACCCAAGCUCCUCGCCUCGGCUGCAGACACGCAAGCAAGCAGGAGGAGGAGGUGGAGGAGGAGGAGGAAAAGGAGGAGGGAAGAUCAAAAAAAAAAAGCACGGCAGGCAGUCGCUUGUCUGGGCUCGGGGCUCCCUCGAGGGUGGCUGCUUACUUUCCGCCUCCUUCUCUUCUCCUGUGGUUCAUCCGACUUUUAUUUUCCUCCCAAUGCACCGAGCAGCAAGCAGCGAGACUGGACCUUUGAUCAUAUCUGGGAUGGGAGCUUCCUGAAAGGAACUCCCACUUCCAAAGGCGAUCUGCACCAGCUCUGCAAUUUAGAAAUUUCCUUGGGGCACUGAAAGGUUAAGCAACUCGCCCUGGGUUACACAGAAUUCAGAGAAUCCUAAUAAAAUGUUUACACAAGACA
rnacentral:lncRNA from 1 species